UUUUCAUCAGUUUUUUAAGUACCCCUACUUUUUCAGUGAAAUUACGGACAGUGCCACCGCUAAGUAAAAAAGCGAAGCGUUUAUUUCCAUGUGAGGCGACGGCGUGGAAGAUCUUCCCGGCCGGGCUGAGAAGGCGGCUUGGCGGACGGGCUGAGGAGACGGAGGUUGGCCAGUGGUCGCGUUUCCAUCGACGCAAAUCAGGUGGCGGCGCACGCCCACUAAACAGGCGCAGGCCCGCAGCGCACUAACCCCUUGCGCCUCCCGCUCCGGUCCCAGCCUCCCAGGCCACCCACGCGGGCCAUGGAAGAGAACGGCGAGGUUCGGCCGGAAUUUCGUCGGCUGCAGCAGGCAGUCACCAUGGGACUCCUCAUUCCCGGAAUGGAGCACCUCCACCAGACCACGACUGUUUGAUACCCCCAGCGAGGUGCAGACAGCAGGCAGCCAUGGCGACAGAGAUCCAGCCAACCAGGCAUCAACUUCGUGGAGGAGAGAUGCUUGUGCUAGGGCGACCGCCUUGAUCUGGAGAAGAUGCCAAAGGAAUUUUUGAUCCACUCAUGGAUCUACCGGUCGGAGUUGUUACCUAAUUUUGUGUGAUGCAGCAGUGUUCUUGUUAAUGAUUCAAUCGUAUUAGCCCCUUGUACAAUGCUUCACGGAUUUUGUUUGUGUGCGCGCAGCGUGAAUAUGCUGUUGUUCCUUUCACUGUAUGAACUGCAAGCUGAUUAUGCAGACAUGAGUUCUUGAAUCUC